rnacentral:sRNA from 1 species
CACACCUGUUUUGUUUUGUUUUUAUAACUCAAAGGACUCCCUGGAGCAUGAACGACAUAGAUGACAAUGUUGUAUCGCAAUGUCGAGAAGCUGCAAACCCCUGUGCAGAGAGGCCAAAGCCCGGAAGUGAGUGGAGCCUGAGCAGGGGGUAGGGAAGGGGAGGCGGGGCUAGGCAGUAAAUGACCUGGCUCACAAUGCUGACCUGUUGUGCCAGGUGAGGAGGCCUUCUACAAACUGUGGUGCCCUUCUCAGUUGUUUCCCCAUAUGGAGAGAGGCUUUGGCUCUGAUUCAGGAACCUUCGACCCCAAGAUGCUGAGAUAUCUGAAAGCCCAGCCCGGCUCCAGCCAGGCCCUGGAUGGGCAGGCCCUCACACACCUGCAGUGAGGAGGCUCUGCCUCAGGGCUGAGAGGGAGAGACUAUGACGAGCAGAGGAAACUGAGGCUGGGCUCCCUCAGCAAGUUGGAGUCAAGCUUUGUCAAGCCCGGAGGCCAACUGAGCAGACUCCAUUUCCCAAGACAGAAAUGGGUAUACUUUAAUAUUGCUGUCUGGGAUUUGGGGGCCAGGGUCUGUGUAAAGCCAUAGGUCCCCUAGGCCUUGAGAUCCCUGCCCCACUAUGUGAUCCUGGCCAAGGAGAAGCCACGCUCAGCCUCGGUUUUCUAUCCUCAGUAGCCAGGUUCUGAACCUUGUCAGUCCCAGCUCCAAACACUCCCUGAGCUCCCUGAAGGAAGUGUCCCUUCCCUCUCCCAUUCUGGAGCAGAGAUGCUGACCUGAACCCUCUGGCCCAUGCGUCUUACCCCUAAAUGAAAGGCUCUGAGUCCCUACUGGGGGCCACACCAGCCCUAACCUUCCCCUCAGUUCCCUGUACUGCCCACGUCAAUAGCUCCCCCUUCCCUGGAAACAGCAUGCUCCUGCCUCAGAGCCCUUGCACAGGCCAUUCUCUGCCCAGAGUCUACUCCCCACCCCCCCAUUUCUCCACAACUCACUCCCUCACUUUCCUUGGGUCUUCAGGACAAAGGUCACCUGUCCCAGUAGGCGCUUCAAUGGUCCCACCCCAGCCAACUCCCCUCUCUCCCAGUCUCAGCUCAAAAGUCAACUUUUCCAGGGGACUUAAGGACCCCCUCAGCCCUGCCAGAGGGCCUCCAGUCCUCUUUCCUGGCAUGAACCUUCACUCUGACGGCAGCAAUCUCUGGAUGAGCACAGGGCCACUUCCACUUUCUCACAGCUGACACUCGCUGACGGUCAGUGUCGCGUUAACACCAGUGCCUGGCUGGGACAGUUUUGAACACCUUUUCAGAACAGAGCAGAUGGUGUGGGCACAGAGCACUGGCCCAGUAAGGGGAAGGUGCCUGGUUGAAGGGCAGAAGGAAGAGGGACGAAUGGGAAGAUGGAUGGGGAAUGGAAGGAUGAAUGUUGGGUGCGCAGGGAAUCCAUAGUAGGGUCUGGAUUUGCCAGGGAUGCCUGGGCUCCUGAAAACUGGCUGAGACGGGAGAGAGAUGCUGAGCUUCCCCAUCAGAGCAGCCAGGCUGUGCAAUCCCACCCUUGACCUCAGAAAGCUCCUUCUCCCAAGGGAGGGAGUGCAGAGGAGGAGCAUACAGCCCUGCUCCCCAGGGAGGGGGCUCCCAGGCUCCAUCUGUCUCCCCACAAAGGGGCUUUGUCCUUGGAGCUAAGAGCUCAGGGCGCCCGGAAGCUGCCCCUUGGCAGCCCAGCAAGGCUGUGGCUCUGAGCCAGGCUCUCCCAGGACUGUACAACACUGGACACAACCCUCCAGAGGACAUCCUCUAUUUCUGUGAGGGAAGAAACUGAGGCUCAGGAAGGGAAAAAUCACUUAGCCAAGCUCUCCCAGCUGGAAUCAGUGUAAGGCCUCAAAGCUAGGCCUCUUAGGUUCCACAGUCCAUAUAGCCCUCAGACUAUCAGGAGCUUAAGAGAGGGUGGACUGUGCCCUGGGAGGCUCACCCAAAAGGAAGGAGGCUGGGACUGGGACCAGAGUCCACUUUAGGUGGCCUGGGGUACCCAUCAUAGGACACCCCAUUUCCUGAGGGGCAGUGUUACCAAGAGAUGCAGUAAGAGGAAACUGAGGCAUCCCUCCCUGUCUCCCCACCCCGACCCAGGUUCUUGAUAUUCCUAGACACAGCCACUCAGCAAGGCGCCCCAGGCCACUGUUGCAAGGCCACACUGCCUGAGCCAGGCAUGAUCCACAGAACUGGAUACAGCCAUCUUCCCAGGGGCCUCCACCCCAUCAGGCUGUAUGUAAACAUCAUACGCUUUGGGGUCCACAGAAGGCACCAGGUCCAACCCCAGCUCCCAGCGCUCAUAACAAGCUCACAGGCUGCAUCACAAGGCCCUGAUGAGUCUCCUCAGAAGGCCAGCCUCUGUCCUCUGCCCAGUCAGGAGCUCUGAUCCCUGUCUUAAGCCCCUGCUCCACUUCAUCCUUCUCUGUUCUCUACCAACCAUGCCUUCCCUGCUCCCACAACACUGAGUGUGCAGGAUGAACUAGGCUCCUUCUCAGCAGGUAUAAACGACCCCAAGUUCCACAGCCGCAGGCGAUGCACACACACACACACACACACACACACACACACACACACACUUUACUUCCUGGGUUCCCUCUGUCUAAGACGCCCUCACCCUUCUCUUUCUCAGGAUCUCUUGUUUACCCUUAGGGACCUUGGUGACCUUCCUCCCCCGAAGCCUCCUUGGCAUUGCUAGGCCGCCAUCAUUCCUGUGUCACCUAGGUCACAGUAGAGCAAACAUCAGGGUCUGUAAUUGGCUCCAGAGCAUUGCUUCCAGUGCCCCCGAGACAGAUCACACUGUCCUCUCCUCCAAAGUACAUCUCCCCUCAGAGCCCUGGAGCAGCCUCCUGUGCCCUGCCCCCACCCACAGGUGGCCCAGACACCAUCAGUUGCUAAGCAUGGAGAGCUCCAGGAGCCCAGGGGCAGAGUCCCAGGCAACACCAAAAGCAGCCAAGGCUGAUUCUGACCAUGAUGCCCAUGGAUCUAAGGUGUGGGCAGAGUGGGUGGUGGGGGAGCUGCCUGCAAAUGGCCAACUGGUAACCAAACCCACGUUGCUUCUAAAACUAGGGCACAGGAUUGAAAUGGGAACAGCAGAAUUGUCCCCAAAUAGAACAGUGGCUCAUCUGGUUCCGGGCCUUGGGAGCACCUGGAGGGGUGGGGGUUGGGCGAAGGAGGCAAAACCUGCGGUGAGGAACCGUUCUACCCACAAUACCCCUGUGGGCCCCAGGCUGCCUUUGAUCACACCAUCCUCUGCCUGGACACUCUCCCCUUCCUACCACCUUGGCCACUGAGGGGAAACUUCCUACAGGCAUAAGAUAUUUAGGGACCCAGCCCAAGGGAAAAAGCUGCUGUCUCCUGAUGUGGACGAGGGAGAAGCCAUUUACCUGCCCAGCAGAUACAGGCGGGAACAAAGUCCACAGGGCACAGCAGGGCCACCUGGGAAGUACAGGGGUCCUACCCUGCCCAGGAGCAGCCACCUCAGUGAGAUGUUGUCUGUCACACCAUCCACCAACCCAGCUGCGUGGGUUUCUUCAGAAGGGUGGGAAGGGGGUGUGAUCUGCCUCUCACCGAAUCCUCAGAAGGAACCUCCAAGUUUCACCCCUUCAAGGCUAUGUGACCCCAAGCAAGUCACUUAACCUCUCUGAUCCAUCUAGGCACUCAUAGGAAAAGACAGACCCAAGACUCAGGAGAAUAGGGUUAUCCUAACUGCCUAAGCAGGGAGAGCACCCAGCAGGCGCCCAACCUGAGUCCAGCUUCCUCAUCUGUGAUGAAGGUGAUCACUGGGUUCAGUCUCCAUCGCAGCCCUGCUGGGGUGUGCAGGUAACUACAUAGAAGUGCUUUGCAAACUAUAAAGUGCUGUGCCCUCAGGAGUGGUAAUUACCACACUCUCCCUUAGAAGCAGAGAAAACCAGCCUAGAGGUGCUAUCUGCCAGAGAUGGAGCCUUGAGGGUGAUAGAGAAAGGGUAGAGGAGGCGCAGGGAGAAGACAGAAGGUGAGGGGAGAGCCAGGGAUACUUCUGCUGUGGGAGGGCUUGCUCAACAGUGGGGUACCUGCCAGCAGAGAUGGCGGAUGCUGAAACCGCAACUCUCAGAAAAGAGAGGUAGGAGAGUCACUCCUUCCUGCCAGGCUGGACCAGAGAUGAGUUCCAGCUCAGUCUAGGCUAUACAGCCAGGCCCUGUGUCAGACACACCCCCAAUAAAAGAAUUGGGGACCUUCACAGGAAUGCAGGACCUGUACAGGCAAAAGCAGACAGGAAACCAGCCAGUGGCUCAGAGCGCCUGCGGGGUAACCCACAACAGAGACACAACAGACGAGAGAGGCUGGGUCUCAGGAAGGAACUCUGUCUGAACUGGGGACAUCUCCAGGAGACAUGCAGAGGCCCCAACCCUCUCUGAGCCUCCGUUUGCCUCCACCGGAAACAAGGGAAGUGCAGCUUGUACCCAGGUCAGCAUGAGAAGCACCCACUACCCAGAGAGCAGAUAUCUCACAGGGAGGACCCCACACGGCCCUACUACUACCAAGGAGAUCAUGUAACUGGACCAUCCAAUACCCACCAGCCAUGAUUACAAACCAGGACGUCAGGGAACCCAUACUCUGCCGCAGAAAGACACUGGUCGCAGUGAAGACUCCUGCUCCUGUUCUUCUCCCAUAAAAACAGGAAUAAAAGUUCUACUCACUCCAGGACAGGAAACAGAAA